rnacentral:rRNA from 1 species
UACGGAGGGUGCGAGCGUUGUCCGGAAUCACUGGGCGUAAAGGGCGCGUAGGUGGCUCGUUAAGUGGUUGGUGAAAUCCCGGGGCUCAACUCCGGGGCUGCCAGCCAGACUGGCGGGCUAGAGCACGGUAGGGGCAGAUGGAAUUCCCGGUGUAGUGGUGGAAUGCGUAGAGAUCGGGAAGAACACCAGUGGCGAAGGCGUUCUGCUGGGCCGUUGCUGGCACUGAGGCGCGACAGCGUGGGGAG